CCUCAAAAUUCACGUAUUCUUUGUAUAUGUGGUAUAAAAAACUGAAACGACCAGGAAUCAACGUGUUCUGAGGUAAGGGAACGGAUAUCUUUCGAUCUAUCGCGUUCUUUUUUUGGAACUGUCGUGUCCCUUAGUGAAUAAUCGUCCGGAUACAAAGAAAUAUAGCUUCGAUACAAUAGAAUUCUAACGCCCACGGAAAUGAAGGCGGAAUCUAUAUUCCAUAAUUGGAAUCUUCGUUUUGUGACACAUUCCAGAAUGUGCUCAGAAAAACAAAUAGAAUAAAAGAAGGAUUUAAAUUCCUUCUAAUAUCUAAAUUCUUGUUAACAUUAAUUUUGACAUAACCUAUAUUUAUAUAUAAAAUGACAAUGGAAAAAGAUUGAACUAAUUGAUGUGAUUGAAUAAAAAAUAGAAGAAAUGCAAUUAAUUAUGACUCAAUUCGUAUUAAAUGAGAUGGAUCAUUUUGGAAUGUUAAUAGAUAUCUACACAUCACUUCCUGCCUCUCAGAUAAAAGUAUUGGAAGCGAAUGUUGAACUUCUGAGAACUUUCAAUCUAAUUGAUAAGAUAGUGAAUUAAGUCUUGGAUAAACGAAUGGAACGAACAUCCGCUAAUUCUUUGACAAUAGGAAUACAAAGAUAAAACCGAAUCUCAAUUCUGGUUCAACUUACAUAUCUAUCGAUUAUCAAAAAAUUAUAAUCUCUUCUGUUAAAAACUCUCCAAACGAAAAAGUUUAUGGAUGAUCCAAUCACGAUAACAUAAGUCAACAAUUAUUCUUAUUAUUUUACGCAAAUCUAUAUUGCCAAAGAGGAAACUCGUCUGACUAAUCACAGUAGAAACAAUCGUUAAAAGAGAAAUUACCAUAUAAAUAUUCCAAGUGACUCAUAAGCAUUCUUCGAGCGUGUUACGUUUCUUCCACCUCCGCCUAUGAAAUACCAAAGGGAUUUCACAGGUUAACGAGAUCAUGAUAAUCUGCACAACGGAAUCGAACAUACUGACCUGAAAAUUAUCGAUGGAUCGUGCAUGGAAACGUGAAUACAUGCGAAUACGAAGAAAUUCUCGGCAGGAGGAAAGAGAAAAAGAAGGGAUCCAAGAAAGGCACGGCAGGGUACAGGUGCCGCGCCCUGUUGAACUUCCAGUUCGACUUCUCACAGUCGAUUAUGUAUUCAUGAGUGUUUGAGAAGAAAGAAAAAGGAAAAGAAACAGUAGACAUAAUCUCGUUCGAUGCAAAGGAGAUUCCUUUUUAGGCAAAGAUGUAGAUAAAAGUUACACGACAUCGUUGGAAGUUUGCACUAAGAGAUGCAACACGGAUGAGAAUAGAAUUGUCCUAAUCUAAUGUUCUAAUCUAAAAAAUUAAAAAAAUUAAUAACACAGAAAAUACAUAGAAAGAUAUUUUGAAAAAAAAUUCAUUGUAAAAAGAAUUCAUUUAUAUCAUUUAUUAAGUUUAUUAAAUAAUUUGAUAUAUCUUCUAUUCUUUUUUUUUUUAAUAGAAUUAUUAAAUUUUUUUCAUUCUUUGUUUCAUGAGAUUUACGUAUUAUAAGAAAUCCACAUUAUAACUGGACACGCAUUGUUCAAGUAAUAUUCUCACGACUCGAAUGUAUUCUCAUGAUAGCUAUAUACCGGAUAAAUAUAAUCCGCGUCAAGACACUCGUCUAGCCUGUCCUAUUCUAGCCUAGCUCAGGCAUCCGCGGAUUACAAGAGACUUCCGGUCUACUCUUUCUGAUGGUCAUUGUUGCACCGGGCAGAGAGUGUGACGACCUCGACAGCCUCGAUCCGCUUUUUCCAAAGCGUCUUUGCUUCUCUGUAAGAUGGAUCUCUGUAUCGCCAUGGAAUUAUUCUUUUCGAAAUUCAAUUUAAAAAUACGAAUGAUGCGAAAUCGUCGAGAUAUCGAGAUUUUUCCAAUCUUUUUUAAAUUGCGAUCUCUUUUUGCAAUAUAUAAAUAAUUUGCAACUAUAUAAGGUAAGGAAACUUAAAAAAAUUGUAUUACUAAAAAAUAAUGGAUUAA